GACGAACGCUGGCGGCGUGCCUAAUACAUGCAAGUAGAACGCUGAAGGAGGAGCUUGCUCCUCUGGAUGAGUUGCGAACGGGUGAGUAACGCGUAGGUAACCUGCCUGGUAGCGGGGGAUAACUAUUGGAAACGAUAGCUAAUACCGCAUAAUAGCAGUUGUUGCAUGACAACUGUUUGAAAGGUGCAAUUGCACCACUACCAGAUGGACCUGCGUUGUAUUAGCUAGUUGGUGGGGUAACGGCUCACCAAGGCGACGAUACAUAGCCGACCUGAGAGGGUGAUCGGCCACACUGGGACUGAGACACGGCCCAGACUCCUACGGGAGGCAGCAGUAGGGAAUCUUCGGCAAUGGACGGAAGUCUGACCGAGCAACGCCGCGUGAGUGAAGAAGGUUUUCGGAUCGUAAAGCUCUGUUGUAAGAGAAGAACGAGUGUGAGAGUGGAAAGUUCACACUGUGACGGUAUCUUACCAGAAAGGGACGGCUAACUACGUG
rnacentral:rRNA from 1 species